GCGCUGCGAUUCGAGUCGAAUUGAAACUUAAAUCGGCCCUCGCUAAUAUUGAUUCAAAACAUUUUCAACGGUGGCCCGGCGCGAUGACGUCCAUGCGAUAAAGCGGAGAACAACUUUUCCAAUGCUGCCCAGUCGGAAAUGCGAAUCUUACUGAUGACGUCAGAGCAAACACAUAUCAUGGACAUUAACUUUUCCAAGGUUGCUUAAGAAGCAACAGAUCAAGUUCUCUUAGAUGCCACGAACCUCAAGAUCUAGUAGUAAUCAACUUCAAUGUAUUAAUAAUUUCAUAAGCUUUACUACUUUCUAAAAUCGUGUUCUUUACCCUACAUAUGCAUCGUAUGGUAGAAUGGUUUAUAGCUUUAAAAAUA